rnacentral:rRNA from 1 species
GACAGAGGUGCCAAGCGUUAGGCGGAAUCACUGGGCUUAAAGCGUGUGUAGGCGGAUUUGUAAGUACCUUGUGAAAUCCCACGGCUUAACCGUGGAACUGCUCGGUAUACUGCGAAUCUUGGGUCAUCUAGGGGCGAGCGGAACAAGUGGUGGAGCGGUGAAAUGCGUAGAUAUCACUUGGAACGCCAAUGGUGAAAACAGCUCGCUGGGGAUGCACCGACGCUGAGACACGAAAGCCAGGGGAGCGAACGGG